rnacentral:rRNA from 1 species
UGGGGAAUUUUGGACAAUGGGCGCAAGCCUGAUCCAGCCAUGCCGCGUGAGUGAAGAAGGCCUGGUUGUAAGCUCUUUCGGUCCGGGAAGAAAUCGUGUUCUCUAACAUAGGACAUGGAUGACGGUACCGGACUAAGAAGCACCGGCUAACUACGUGCC